rnacentral:rRNA from 1 species
AUUGAACGCUGGCGGCAUGCCUUACACAUGCAAGUCGAACGGAUUGAGGGGCUUGCUCCUCAGUUAGUGGCGAACGGGUGAGUAAAGCAUCGGAACGUACCCAGUUGUGGGGGAUAACGUAGCGAAAGUUACGCUAAUACCGCAUACGCACUGAGGUGGAAAGCGGGGGACCGAAAGGCCUCGCGCAAUUGGAGCGGCCGAUGUCGGAUUAGCUAGUUGGUGGGGUAAAGGCCUACCAAGGCGACGAUCCGUAGCUGGUCUGAGAGGACGACCAGCCACACUGGAACUGAGACACGGUCCAGACUCCUACGGGAGGUAGCAGUGGGGAAUUUUGGACAAUGGGCGAAAGCCUGAUCCAGCCAUGCCGCGUGAGUGAAGAAGGCCUUCGGGUUGUAAAGCUCUUUCAGACGGAAAGAAAUCUCCUGGGUGAAUAUCCCGGGAGGAUGACGGUACCGUAAGAAGAAGCACCGGCUAACUACGUGCCAGCCGCCGCCGGUAA